CUCCGCACGUUCGGUGUUUGAUCACUGAUAUAUUUCUUCUUGUUCUUCCUCUUCCGUAGCUGGCUACAGAAGCUCGUGUAAUAACAAAAAUAAAAAAAUUAUAAAAAAAACCGCGAGAGAAGUGCCACGACGAGCUAUAGGUCUUUAGUGCUGGACGUCCAUUUGAAUUCGCUGCGUACGAUUUGGCUGCCCCUAAAACGAAUCCGAGUCAAAUAAAUUCAAUUAGCAUAUAUUAAUAUCGAUAUCAUUUUACUUCACAUCUCCAAAUUUGAUUCACCGAUAAAAUUUCAUAUCGGUCGUACUGCUGAAAUUUCUUAUUUCAUCUCCAACGUCCUCACCAUUGGAGGUUCUACGGAAGAAUGAGAUUUGUUGGAACGUUCGCGGAUUUUCUACUACUCAAUAAAUAUCUCUCCAACUCUACCGUUAAUCAGGUGAGACCUUCGGCUAACCACAUGAUAAUUUCCGUUUGGUCAUACGACUUCAAAAUUCAAAUUAUGAUAAUUUAACUUUUUUCCUUUUUCUUCUCUUCAAAUUAUGAAUUACUGAAAAAGGGCAAGGUUUUUAACAAUCAUCCAGCCCAUUAAUUUACUUUCAAUUACUUAUUAGUUAUUUAAUCUUAUACUUAAUUACCAUAUUUAUGAAUGAUAUUAUAAUAAUAGUAAUAAUACAUAACUGUAUACGCGAUGAUCUUUUUGUUUUACUAUGAUGAUUAUUCUUGUUAUUAUUGUUAUUAUUAUUCUUUUUUUUUUUACCAUUGCAAGAUCUUCUUCAACAUUUUGAAGAAGAGAAAAAAGGGAGAGAAGACAGAAAAAAAUUUGGAAGAAUAAUGAACAGUUAAUAAAAUCAUCAGGCUCAACACAAUUUUUUUCCUUGUAUCCAAAUUGAUCUGAACACCCACCAUUUAUGAAAUGUAUAUUUGUUUUCAUACACCACUAAAAAAUGUCAAACUGAUAAUCUGAAUCUGCAUGCAUUUAUCGUAAAUUUAUGAAUAUAUAGGUAUUUUGGUAGAGGUAUAUAAGAAUUAUUAACUCAAAAAAAUUCUUCCCAUACGUAUGAUAUUCACAUGCACCUGAUGCUCGUUAGUACGCAAUAAUACAUGAUUAAACGAUAGAUUUAUUGUUACCAUAGCUCAAUAUAAUCUAUGUUGUUGCUAGUAUUUGAUAUUAUUUUAGUACCAGUAAUAUAUCAUUACAAAUAAGUUGUAAAGUAAAAGGAAAAAAAUUCAGUUCACUAGAUUACCCUUUCGGACAUUUGAAAAAUCAAAGCAAUAUCGUAUCUCUUAUUGAUAGUAAAAUUGCUGUUCAGAACAAAUCGGGUUAUUGUGUAGUUAAGAUUUGUCCUUUUACCUGACAACAUCAAGCAUUUUGUUAAAAUUAAUUUAACCAAUCACUUUUCAUUAUUAUUGUUAUUGUUAUUAUUAUUCCUGUCGUUAUUAUUAUUAUUACUACUAAUAUUAGUCAAUAAUCAUUACUGUUAUUGUUGUUGUUGUUAUUACUAUUAUUAAUAAUGUUAAUAUUAUUAUUAUUUAUGUACAACCGUUUUAAUGUUCUAUAAUUAUGUAAUUCUUUUUUUUUGUUGCUAAAAUUUGUUUCUGUGCCAUUGGAGAUGAUGUGCGCGCAUGGAGACUUAUGUAUAUAAAAAUUAUUAUUUUUUUUUUUUUUUUUUUUUUUUUUGAUACAGCUGUGUGUGACUUGGUGUUACUUAUUACGAAUUAUUACGCUUAUA